GUCACAAAUCGUAGUAAAAAUUGAUUGUGUUGAAGUUGUAAACCUAAAUACAAAAUUCUGGAAAAAAAUUCUUUUGGCCUCCAGAUCUCAUCUUCUCCUUAUUUCCUCUUCUUUCUUUGUAUGCCAUUCCUCUCAUCUCCUCUUAGAUCUCCUCUUUUCUCUUGCAUUGCCUCUCUGAGCGAGCAACCAGGGUUUUUUUUCUCAGUUUUCACGAGUUGACAAAUCCGAUGGCGGAUUUAGAAGUACAUGAGCAGGAGUGAUUAUGUUUCUGUUGGGAAACAGUCUCAACAAAAAUUUCAAGCUCCUGGCGGUGGCAACGACGGCUCGUUUCCCUCUGCUUAGUCGCAUAUCUAAAAAAGUGGUGGUGGUGGUCGUUCGUUGCCGCUUCCGCUUCCUCCGGGUCAGUUUGCGGUUGGAAAUUUGCUAUUGUCUACAUCGACACCGUCUGUUCCGCUUCCUCCGGUUCAAUUCGCGGUCGUGAAUGCGUCAUUGUCUACAUCGAUACUGCAUAUUCUAGGAAGAGACCAAAAUUAUAAUAUCAGCCCUAGUAAUUGUACUCUCAUGUGCCUGGGUUCAUUGAGAAAGCAGAGAGGAGCUAAAGUUACUUGGAGCUCAUUCUUCUUCUUCAUCUUCUUCUAUGGAGGAAGAAGAAAGUUGGUUUUAAUAGAAACUCGGAAGAUAGAUACUUGGAGCUAGGACAAUUAAAGAACGAAAACAACAGUUUUGCUAAGCAUCUAGAAUCUGCAGAUACGAUGAUCUCAUUAAUAUGGUGGGUUAUUGGAUUCUAUAGGGUAUCUUCUGGUGGCUAGGAGUUAGCACAAGGAUCCCCUCAGCUUUAUUGAUGACGUGGAAUCCAAGUGGCAACAACAUUGUUCGUCAUCUUCUUUAUCUCUCGUUUAUGUGUGUAAUGGUCAUGGUUUCCUUUUGUUUGUAAUAAGUUUGUAAUGACAUAGCAUUAAUAUUGAGAAAAAAAUCCUUAAACUCAAGUGUAUUAGCAGCAAAUAACCAUACACUGAAUGCAUUACCAGCAAAAAAAAAAA